rnacentral:rRNA from 1 species
UGAAUACGAGAUACUACGGUGUCGAAGCAGUCUAUGUCAUACUUCCAAGAAAAGCUUGCACUGUCAUAAACAAAUAAUGCCUGUACCAUAACCGACACAGGUGGGUAGGUAGAGUAUACUAAGGGGCGCGAGAUAACUCUCUCUAAGGAACUCGGCAAAAUGACUCCGUAACUUCGGGAGAAGGAGUGCCUUAUAUUUAUAAGGUUGCAAUAACAAGAUCCAAGCAACUGUUUAUCAAAAACACAGGUCUCCGCUAAGUCGUAAGACGAUGUAUGGGGGCUGACGCCUGCCCAGUGCCAGAAGGUUAAAGAAGUUGGUUAGCUUUUGCGAAGCUGAUAACUGAAGCCCUGGUGAACGGCGGCCGUAACAAUAACGGUCCUAAGGUAGCGAAAUUCCUUGUCGGGUAAGUUCCGACCCGCACGAAAGGCGUAAUGAUUUGGAUACUGUCUCGGAGAGGGACUCGGUGAAAUAGACUUGUCUGUGAAGAUGCGGACUACUUGCACCAGGACAGAAAGACCCUAUGAAGCUUUACUGUAACCUGAAAUUGAAAUUGGACUUUACUUGCGCAGGAUAGGUGGGAGGCUUUGAGAAUAUUCUUGCGGGAAUAUUGGAGCCAUCAGUGAGAUACCACUCUGGUAAUGUUAGAUUUCUAACUUUGUAUCAUUAUCUGGUCAAAGAACAGUUUCAGGCGGGCAGUUUGACUGGGGCGGUCGCCUCCUAAACGGUAACGGAGGCGCACAAAGGUUUCCUCUGAACGGGUAGAAAUCGUAUCUAGAGUGUAAAGGCAUAAGGAAGCUUGACUGUGAGACCUACAAGUCGAGCAGGGACGAAAGUCGGUCUUAGUGAUCUGACGGUGCUGAGUGGAAAGGCCGUCACUCAACGGAUAAAAGUUACUCUAGGAUAACAGGCUGAUCUCCCCCAAGAGUUCACAUCGACGGGGAGGUUUGGCACCUCGAUGUCGGCUCAUCGCAUCCUGGGGCGGUAGUACGUCCCAAGGGUUGGGCUGUUCGCCCAUGAAAGCGGUACGCGAGCUGGGUUCAGAACGUCGUGAGACAGUUCGGUCCAUAUCCGGUGUAAGCGUUAGAAUAUUGAGAGGAGCCUUCUUUAGUACGAGAGGACCGAGAAGGAUGCACCGCUGGUGUACCAGUUAUUGUGCCAACAGUAAACGCUGGGUAGCUAUGUGUGGAGUGGAUAACCGCUGAAAGCAUCUAAGUGGGAAGCCCACCUCAAGAUAAG